AGACCCUGAGAGUGGCAGGCAGACCGCACGCCACUGCUGAACCUCACAACGUCUCAUUGCAAAAUUAAACCACUAUAAAAGAGUAAAAUCCAGCAGGAAGCUGCCUGCUGUCAGGUGCCCGGGGGCGUGUUGGGGACGCGAUGACGGUGUCGUGGUGGCUGGAGCCCGCUGCCGCCCACGCCGGACCACAGCUGCCGCCUCCCGAGCGCGCCGGCUACGACUAUCCGUACAGCCCAGCGCCGGACUACGGCAAGGGCGGCGGCGGCGGAGGUGCGGGGAUGGCCAUGUCUGCGCUCACGCUGCUCGCCUUCCUCUUCUUCCUCAACAUCCUGCAG